UACGUGGGGUGCAAGCGUUAAUCGGAUUUACUGGGCGUAAAGGGUGCGUAGGUGGGGGAGAAAGUUAGGUGUGAAAUUCCGGGGCUCAACCUCGGAGCUGCAACUAAUACUCCUUCUCUAGAGGGUAGGAAGGGAAAGGGGAAUUCCGCAUGUAGCGGUGAAAUGCGUAGAUAUGCGGAGGAACACCGGUGGCGAAGGCGCCUUUCUGGCCUAUUCCUGACACUGAGGCACGAAAGCAAGGGGAGCAAACAGG
rnacentral:rRNA from 1 species